AGCAGCCGCGGUAAUUCCAGCUCCAAUAGCGUAUAUUAAAGUUGUUGCAGUUAAAAAGCUCGUAGUUGAAUUUCGGGAUCAAUACGUCGGUCGUGCUUUUGGGUACGUACUGGCGUUAUUGGUUUCUCUCUUCUGACGAACCAUGAUGUCAUUAAUUUGGUGUUAUGGGGAGUUAGGACUGUUACUUUGAAAAAAUUAGAGUGUUUAAAGCAGGCAUUAGCUUGAAUACAUUAGCAUGGAAUAAUGAAAUAGGACGUUUGAUCCUAUUUUGUUGGUUUCUAGGAUCGACGUAAUGAUUAAUAGGGAUAGUUGGGGGCAUUAGUAUUCAAUUGUCAGAGGUGAAAUUCUUGGAUUUAUUGAAGACUAACUACUGCGAAAGCAUUUGCCAAGGAUGUUUUCAUUAAUCAAGAACGAAAGUUAGGGGACCGAAGACGAUCAGAUACCGUCGUAGUCUUAACCAUAAACUAUGCCGACUAGGGAUCGGAUGAUGUUAAUUUUUUAAUGUACUCAUUCGGCGCCU
rnacentral:rRNA from 1 species